UCAGGAUGAACGCUGGCGGCGUGCUUAACACAUGCAAGUCGAACGAUGAUCUCCAGCUUGCUGGGGGGAUUAGUGGCGAACGGGUGAGUAACACGUGAGUAACCUGCCCUUAACUCUGGGAUAAGCCUGGGAAACUGGGUNUAAUACCGGAUAUGACUCCUCAUCGCAUGGUGGGGGGUGGAAAGCUUUUUGUGGUUUUGGAUGGACUCGCGGCCUAUCAGCUUGUUGGUGAGGUAAUGGCUCACCAAGGCGACGACGGGUAGCCGGCCUGAGAGGGUGACCGGCCACACUGGGACUGAGACACGGCCCAGACUCCUACGGGAGGCAGCAGUGGGGAAUAUUGCACAAUGGGCGCAAGCCUGAUGCAGCGACGCCGCGUGAGGGAUGACGGCCUUCGGGUUGUAAACCUCUUUCAGUAGGGAAGAAGCGAAAGUGACGGUACCUGCAG
rnacentral:rRNA from 1 species